ACCGACACGGACGCCCGUGGUUCCACACAAAAGCGAUGUUUUAAAGCAAAGUAAUUUGGAAAGCUUUAAAACUCGCAGGUUUAGUUUUUGACACGGACGUCAAAAACUAAACCGUU
rnacentral:sRNA from 1 species